rnacentral:rRNA from 1 species
AUUGAACGCUGGCGGCAGGCCUUACACAUGCAAGUCGAACGAGUGGCGGACGGGUGAGUAAUGUCUGGGAACCUGCCUGGUGGAGGGGGAUAACUACUGGAAACGGUAGCUAAUACCGCAUACCAUCAGAUCGGCCGAGAUGGGAUUAGCUAGUUGGUGGGGUAACGGCUCACCAAGGCGACGAUCCCUAGCUGGUCUGAGAGGAUGACCAGCCACACUGGAACUGAGACACGGUCCAGACUCCUACGGGAGGCAGCAGUGGGGAAUAUUGCACAAUGGGCGCAACCCUGAUGCAGCCAUCCCGCGUGGAUGAUGAAGGCCUUCGGGUUGUAAAGUACUUUCAGCAGGGAGGCGUUACCUGCAGAAGAAGCACCGGCUAACUCCGUGCCAGCAGCCGCGGUAAUAC